ACUCCUACGGGAGGCAGCAGUGGGGAAUAUUGCACAAUGGGCGCAAGCCUGAUGCAGCCAUGCCGCGUGUGUGAAGAAGGCCUUCGGGUUGUAAAGCACUUUCAGUCGUGAGGAAGGUAGUGUAGUUAAUAGCUGCAUUAUUUGACGUUAGCGACAGAAGAAGCACCGGCUAACUCCGUGCCAGCAGCCGCGGUAAUACGGAGGGUGCGAGCGUUAAUCGGAAUUACUGGGCGUAAAGCGCAUGCAGGUGGUUUGUUAAGUCAGAUGUGAAAGCCCGGGGCUCAACCUCGGAAUAGCAUUUGAAACUGGCAGACUAGAGUACUGUAGAGGGGGGUAGAAUUUCAGGUGUAGCGGUGAAAUGCGUAGAGAUCUGAAGGAAUACCGGUGGCGAAGGCGGCCCCCUGGACAGAUACUGACACUCAGAUGCGAAAGCGUGGGGAGCAAACAGGAUUAGAUACCCUGG
rnacentral:rRNA from 1 species